GACGAACCGUGCGAACGUUGUUCGGAAUCACUGGGCUUAAAGGGCGCGUAGGCGGCCUUCUAAGUCGAACGUGAAAUCCCCGGGCUCAACCCGGGAACUGCGUCCGAUACUGGAAGGCUUGAAUCCGGGAGAGGGAUGCGGAAUUCCAGGUGUAGCGGUGAAAUGCGUAGAUAUCUGGAGGAACACCGGUGGCGAAGGCGGCAUCCUGGACCGGCAUUGACGCUGAGGCGCGAAAGCCAGGGGAGCAAACGGG
rnacentral:rRNA from 1 species